rnacentral:rRNA from 1 species
UACGUAGGGUGCAAGCGUUGUCCGGAAUUAUUGGGCGUAAAGAGCGUGUAGGCGGUCCGGUAAGUCCGCUGUGAAAGUCGGGGGCUCAACCCUCGAAUGCCGGUGGAUACUGUCGGGCUAGAGUGCGGAAGAGGCGAGUGGAAUUCCUGGUGUAGCGGUGAAAUGCGCAGAUAUCAGGAGGAACACCUAUUGCGAAGGCAGCUCGCUGGGACGUUACUGACGCUGAGACGCGAAAGCGUGGGGAGCAAACAGG